AUGUCGACCGACCAACAAUCAUCAGUUGAGGAUCAAACUGUAGCCAUGGUGAACGUUCGUCGUGCUAACUUCAAAAGCUUCUGGGAUAAAUAUUCCGACAAGCCAGACACCAACUCGAUGAUGUUGAACCAUUCUGCGGAAGAAUUGGAGUCAAGUGAUCGUGCUGAUAUCUUGGCCAGUCUUCCACUUUUGCACAACAAAGACGUCGUUGAUAUUGGAGCUGGAAUCGGUUUUUCAGGCGAUUCACCACCGUUCUUGCCGAAACUGCUCGCUGGGUCUUGUCCACCGACUUCAUCGACAGCUUCAUCAAGAAGAACCAGGAACGUAAUGCUCAUCUUGGGAACAUCAACUAUCAAGUCGGAGACGCUGUUGGACUUAAAAUGGAGUCAAACAGUGUUGACUUGGUGUUCACUAACUGGCUCAUGAUGUACCUUUCCGAUGAGGAAACCGUUGAGUUCAUUUUCAACUGCAUGAGAUGGCUCAGAUCACAUGGAAUUGUUCAUCUCCGUGAGAGUUGUUCCGAGCCAAGCACAGGAAGAUCAAAAGCAAAAUCAAUGCAUGACACUGCAAAUGCCAACCCAACUCACUACAGAUUCUCUUCUCUCUACAUUAAUCUUCUCCGUGCCAUUCGCUACCGUGACGUCGACAACAAACUCUGGCGCUUCAAUGUUCAAUGGUCUUGCUCCGUUCCAACUUACAUCAAGAGAUCCAACAACUGGCGUCAAGUCCACUGGCUCGCCGAGAAGGUUCCAGCCGAGGAUGGAGCUAAGGGAACAUCAUUCAACGAGUUGGUUGAGUUGAUCAAGAACACAUGGCAAAAUGAGCAAGAGGCUUGGGAUGCAAAGUUGGAUGAUGAGAAAUACGUAUGGACGGAUAAGGUGUUCUCAUCUGCUCUUACAUCUCUCCCAUCCAACUCGACAUUCUUCCUCUACACUCCACGUACCGUUUCCCCAUACUGCCACAUCAAUGCUCACACUCUUGCGGAAACAUUCAAUGCCAAUGUCUGGAACACUGAAAUCAUUCCAGAAUACUACCGCACAUCACUCACAAAAUCAAACAACUUGAAGGAUCAGAGAGUUCGUUUUGGAUGGAAUCAAUCUCUGACCGACUCUGUCACCUAUUGGCAACAGAAGGAUGCUCUUUUCGAUGUCUUCGUUGCCACUGAAUUCUUGAGCACUGUUGAUGAUGAAACCAUUCGCCAACUUCCAAAUGUUAUGAGCGACGGAGCCAAGUUUAUCACGUUGGAGCCAGUUGAUGAAGUGAAUGAGGCUGAGAUGAAGCAACGCAUUCAAGAAUUGGGAUACACACUGAAGUCCUUCACAGAUGUCACUGAUCAGUGCAUUGAAGCUCAGGAACAAUACUUCAAGGAUCACGAACAACUGAGAGAUGAGAAAGUUAUUCGUAAGAACUGGGUACUUCUUGAGUUGACUCAUUAG
rnacentral:misc_RNA from 1 species